GAGAUGUUGGGUUAAGUCCCGUAACGAGCGCAACCCCUAUCCCUAGUUGCUAGCAGUUCGGCUGAGAACUCUAGGGAGACUGCCGGUGUCAAACCGGAGGAAGGUGGGGAUGACGUCAGGUCAUCAUGGCCCUUACGGCCAGGGCUACACACGUGCUACAAUGGUGCGUACAGAGGGCUGCAAACCCGCGAGGGGGAGCUAAUCUCACAAAACGCAUCGUAGUCCGGAUCGGAGUCUGCAACUCGACUCCGUGAAGUCGGAAUCGCUAGUAAUCGCGGAUCAGAAUGCCGCGGUGAAUACGUUCCCGGGCCUUGUACACACCGCCCGUCACACCAUGGAAGCUGGUUAUGCCCGAAGUCGUCACUCUAACCAUUCGGAGGAGGAUGCCUAAGGUAGAAUUAGUGACUAGGGUGAAGUCGUAACAAGGUAACCGUACUGAAGGUGCGGUUGGAUCACCUCCUU
rnacentral:rRNA from 1 species